rnacentral:rRNA from 1 species
CCAAUAGCGUAUAUUAAAGUUGUUGCAGUUAAGAAGCUCGUAGUUGAAUUUCGGAAUCUGUCCGUUGGUCGGGCCUCAUUGUCCGUACUGGUGUGAUGGGUUCUUACCUUCUGAAUAACCAGCAUGCCAUUCAUUUGGUGCGUUGGGGAAGCAGGACUAUUACCUUGAAAAAAUUAGAGUGCUCAAAGCAGGCUAGUGCCUGAAUACAUUAGCAUGGAAUAAUAAAAUAGGACGGCAUGGUUCUAUUUUGUUGGUUUCUAGGAUCACCGUAAUGAUUAAUAGGGAUAGUUGGGGGCAUUAGUAUUCAAUUGUCAGAGGUGAAAUUCUUGGAUUUAUUGAAGACUAACUUCUGCGAAAGCAUUUGCCAAGGAUGUUUUCAUUAAUCAAGAACGAAAGUUAGGGGAUCGAAGACGAUCAGAUACCGUCGUAGUCUUAACCAUAAACUAUGCCGACUAGGGAUCGGACGAUGUUAAUUUUUUAAUGACUCGUUCGGCGCCUUACG